rnacentral:rRNA from 1 species
GACGAACGCUGGCGGCGUGCCUAAUACAUGCAAGUCGAACGCAGUGGGGACGGGUGAGUAAAACGUGGGUAACCUCCCAUCAGAGGGGAUAAAACUUGGCAAAAGGUGCUAAACCGCUACUGAUGGAUGGACCCGGGGUGCAUUAGCUAGUUGGUGAGGUAACGGCUCACCAAGGCCACGAUGCAUAGCUGGUCUGAGAGGGUGAUCGGCCACACUGGAACUGAGACACGGCCCAGACUCCUACGGGAGGCAGCAGUAGGGAAUCGUGGGCAAUGGACGAAAGUCUGACCGAGCAACGCCGCGUGAGUGAAGAAGGUUUUCGGAUCGUAAAGUUCUGUUGGUGGAGAAGCGUUAUCUGACCAGAAAGCCACGGCUAACUACGUGCCAGCAGCCGCGGUAAUAC